rnacentral:rRNA from 1 species
UCGAGGAUCUUCGUCAAUGGGCGCAAGCCUGAACGAGCGACGCCGCGUGUGCGAUGAAGGCCUUCGGGUUGUAAAGCACUGUCGAGGGGGAUCAAGGCCGGCGUAAGCCGGCUUGAGUGAUCCCUGGAGGAAGCACGGGCUAAGUUCGUGCCAGCAGCCGCGGUAAGACGAACCGUGCGAACGUUGUUCGGAAUCACUGGGCUUAAAGGGCGCGUAGGCGGCUCGCGAGGUCGGGGGUGAAAUCCCGCAGCUUAACUGCGGAAGGGCCUUCGAUACCGGCGGGCUGGAGGAAGGUAGGGGUGCGCGGAACUUCUGGUGGAGCGGUGAAAUGCGUUGAUAUCAGAAGGAACGCCGGCGGCGAAAGCGGCGCACUGGACCUUUUCUGACGCUGAGGCGCGAAAGCUAGGGGAGCAAACGGGAUUAGAUACCCCCGUAGUCC